CCAUGAUGGUGAGGUGAUUCGUUCUCCACCAAUCCCUGGAGGACAAGUAGUGGGGUGAUAGUGGGAUGACAGUGGGGUGAUAGUGGGGUGACCCGUGCCCCACCAAUCCCUGAGAGAUUAUUAGCAUACUGUUGUGUAUAUAAGGCGAGCGACUUUGCCGCUCGUGGUCCCCGUAUCAGCAAUGAAGGUGUCCUGCAAUAAAGGCUGUUGACAAGGAUCCGACGGCGUUGCAUCUUCCUUGCUGGACGAGGUGGGCGCGACAAGGAAACACAAAACAUUCAAGCAAUGAGAAACAAAAGCCACAGACAUAAACUGACAGACAUGGACAUCUUGGUGCACCAAGAACAGACAAUAGACAUAGAGAGAGAAAACUAGAUGAUGUCCCACCAAGGGGACCCAGAUAUCCUACCUAAAGAACUCAGAACCAGAAAUAAGCAUUUCUCCAAUAGGAGCCAGCAAGGAGGCAGGAUGUCUCCGACCUCCUUUUGUCCCUAGGAGAGCUCCGAAAAAGCUUACACUCAUUUUCCUUCUCUUUCGCCAAAGUCUCCCUGGAGAAUGGGGAGGGGGGUGUAAGGGGGGACUCUUUUUCUCAAACCCAUUCUUUCUCAUGUCUAGGCUGUAAAUCUCUAGUCAGGAUCCAAAGAUUUUUUAAAAGCAUCUAUGAGAACUGACUUCACUUCUCUAGAUUUUAACAUAACUCUAAAAGAACACAUACACAAAAACAUUUUAUCAUUAUUACCUUGUCCCUUUUUACAAGGUUUACUUACUGCUAGCCCAAAUCUGUACUUUCCUCUGCUUGUGCUUUCAAUUUCCGUGGUGUCUUCACGGUAUCCCACUUACUGGAGCUCCAACUUUGUGGCCUAUUCACCAAAUACAUUCUUUUUACUUUGCUAGCUGGCUUCUGUAACGAUCCCGUCAGGGAAACCUCUCUUCCCUGAUUUUGGUGGGACCUCCACUUGACAGUGCCUGUGGUGUCACAGUACCAAGAACUGGGCAUAGGCCUGCGGGAUUUAAGAAAAAAACAAAAAAACAAAAAGAACACAUACUCGGGUCUUUCGUGUUAUGAGAAUGCCAAAGCUCUACUGAGGUUCACAGAAUAUGUAUCCCAAGUCUACCGAGUGGACUUCCAGGAAGCAUAAUGGAAAAAUGAGUUUACAUUCUCAGCAGGAAAACAGAAACCAAAACUAAGAACUGACAUCAAAGGUGUUGGCGCCCAGGUAUUACCGCCCAUGGGCAAACAGCAAGGCCAGGAAGUACCUUUCUAAAGAACAAAGGCUUUCACAUGCAUCAGCAAGGCUCAGCAGGGGGUAAACACUGAGGGACACAGAUGCAGCCGAAUAUUUCCAUUUCAGCUAUCAGCUGUCAGACACUCACUGAAAUGGAUGAUGGUCACAGACUUCCACACUUUCUCUGAGAAGUGCAUGGCCACAGAAGUAGCUGCAAAGAGUGGAAAGGUUGUGUGGGCUGAAUCAGUGGCAGAAACCACAAAUAAGGUCUUCCCAUGAGGCAAGGUAGAAGUCCUGACUCAUAGCAAAGUGUGCUCUUUGAUGAGUCAGAGACAUUCUUAUUAUAGACUGAGAACAGGAGAGAUGAAGUCUGUUCACAGAUGCAUUGUGAGUGCCAACCUCAGUGUUUUCAAUGUGGUUAUUAUAAACAGGAGAAACAGACAUUCCUGGACAGUGCUGCGCCUUGGUGGUUGGGGCCCCAAAGAGCUCACAGAAUCCGAAAUCUCUGAGGAAGAUCUUGCCCACUGAUAUGAAAGCCCUAAACAAAGAAGGUCAGAAGCCCAGGGCCAAAGCAGUUAAGAUUCGUCAUUUCAUGUGUUCUGCAACACAAGCGCUCUGAAGGGACAGUUCACUGACACAAACAUGGAGUAUAUGACAAGCUGUUCGUCAAGAGAGUGAAGAAGACAAAGAACCCAGGGAAGAGAUCGCCAGGAGUCACCAGCUGUCCUCACUGAGAGCCUAUACCCCCAAGCCUAAGUCCAGGCAAAAAAGUCUUUUAUUGUCUCCAAAGAGCCCAAAUUGUAAUUGUGAUCAGAAUCUUGUUUCUGGAGCUAGGAACCUGAGGUCUCACUUGUCAGCCUGCUACACGGUUCCCUUCUCAGACACAUAGAUGCCAUCCGCAAACUUUCUGAUAGCCCUGUUUUUAACUCUUGUGGCUUGCUGAAUUUGAAACAAGUUCAGUAUCAUUUCCUUCAAGGAUUAAUUCAUCCUUCUGGGCUUGAGAGACAGAACAAGCAACGCCUGUUCUCAUCCAAACCCUGCAGAUGUAUUUUUUUACCCAAGAAAUUUCGGAUUUCAACCACAGACCCGUUCUCCUGAAUAACGACGUUGAUAGGGAAGUGAGCAUACACAGACCUCAUCUUGUAACGGAAGCCCAGUGUAACGGAAGUUCAGUGUUCUGAACAUGAGUGCCCAUGCUUCUGACAGUGGCCAGUUCCUUCCUGUUACCCCACCAUUUGUCAACACGGAGCCUUUUCUUUUUCUUUCCAAGAAGACUGAGCUCUACAUUGAUGUGAUUGAAGUCCCUCUGCAGAGUUCCCCUAGGACCCUUCACAACGACUGUGCACCCCUUCAAAAUGAUGUGGACAUCUUCUGGAAUGUCGACAGUCUGAUUGCUGAGAAUGGUCUUCAAUCUCACAGUAGAUGGGGCAAAAAGAGGGUAAUUUUAGUUUCUGGAUACAUUACUUUAUAACUGGAGACAGACUUUAUUGAAGUUUACUGUCUGAGAAAAUGGUUUUUAUGAAUGUCUCACACAUUCUCAAACAUAAGAGUGUGUUCUUGUGUCUAGUGAACAGAGUCUUAUAUAUUUCCAAUAACUUAGAUUGUUAUCUGUAUUGUUCCGAGUAACAUUUUAUUUUCUGCUUCGUGUAUUUCAGAAAACAAUCUGUCAAAAUUCCCGGCUGUAACUGUUACUUUUUCUCUAUUUCUUCAGUACCUGGUCAGUUAUUGCUGUAUUUAUCCUGACAUUGUAUUGUUAGAUGUAUAUAUCUUUGGUUGUUGUCUCCUUUUCCAUCCCCAUCACCAAUAUACUGUUUUCGCUCUUCUGA